CGCCGGAAGUCAGGCUCGGUCGAGCACC
rnacentral:sRNA from 1 species